rnacentral:rRNA from 1 species
GGGGAGCGAACAGGAUUAGAUACCCUGGUAGUCCAGACCGUAAACGGUGGGCACUAGUUGUGGGGAACCUUCCACGGUUUCUGCGACGCAGCUAACGCAUUAAGUGCCCCGCCUGGGGAGUACGAUCGCAAGAUUAAAACUCAAAGGAAUUGACGGGGCCCCGCACAAGCAGCGGAGCAUGCGGCUUAAUUCGACGCAACGCGAAGAACCUUACCAAGGCUUGACAUAUAGGGAAAAGUGGCAGAGAUGUCAUGUCCGCAAGGGCCCUAUACAGGUGGUGCAUGGUUGUCGUCAGCUCGUGUCGUGAGAUGUUGGGUUAAGUCCCGCAACGAGCGCAACCCUCGUUCUGUGUUGCCAGCAUUUAGUUGGGGACUCACAGGAGACUGCCGGGGUUAACUCGGAGGAAGGUGGGGAUGACGUCAAAUCACCAUGCCCCUUAUGUCUUGGGCUGCACGCAUGCUACAAUGGCCGGUACAGAGGGCUGCAAUACCGUAAGGUGGAGCGAAUCCCAAAAAGCCGGUCUCAGUUCGGAUUGAGGUCUGCAACUCGACCUCAUGAAGUUGGAGUUGCUAGUAAUCGUAGAUCAGCAUCGCUACGGUGAAUACGUUCCCGGGGCUUGUACACACCGCCCGUCACGUCACGAAAGUCGGUAACACACCAAAGUCAGUGGCCCAACCGCAAGGGGG